rnacentral:misc_RNA from 1 species
CAUCCCCAAGAUUAAGAUGUACUAUAAAAAAUUGUAUCGCAUUCAUAAAUGUUUCUCACAUGUUAUUAGUUCCUGGAAAGCCAAGUACAUACAUACAAUCUCCAGAAACGGCUCAAUCAAUCUACUUGUUUCAUUCCAUAACACCCAAGAGGUUGAACUACUCUUGCAAGCUUUUUCUGAUCCUUCCAAUCUCCUACAAGCCAAACAAAUUCAUGCCCAGUCCAUUCUUCAUGGCAUCACCAACAGUGGCCUGCUGGGAGCGAGGAUUUUGGGCAUGUAUGUUCUUUGCGAUAAUUUCGCAGAUGCUAAGAAAAUGUUUUAUCAGCUUGAAUUAUACUUUGCCAUGCCCUGGAAUUGGAUGAUCAGAGGGUUUAAUAAAUUGGGUCGCUCUGAUUUUGCUUUGUUGUUUUACUUUAAAAUGUUAGGGUGUGGAGUUUGUCCUGAUAAGUAUACUUUUCCUCCGGUGAUUAAGGCUUGUGGUGGUUUGAAUAAUGUGAGAUUGGGUAAGAUGGUUCAUGACACGAUGUUGUUGAUGGGUUUUAGUGUAGAUGAGUUUGUGGGUAGUUCAUUGAUAAAGUUGUAUGCAGAGAAUGGUUGUAUAGAAGAUGCGCGCUGUUUGUUUGGUAAAAUGCCUCAUAAAGAUUGUGUUUUGUGGAAUGUGAUGCUUAACGGUUUUGUGAAAUGUGGGGAAUCGAAUAGUGCUAUACAGGUGUUUGAGGAAAUGAGAAACUGUGAAACUAAGCCCAAUUCAACUACAUUUGCUUCUGUUCUUUCCGUCUGUGCUUCAGAGGCAAUGCUUCAAUUUGGUACUCAGCUUCAUGGGCUUGUUGUCAGUUGUGGGUUUCAGUUUGAUCCUCGAGUCGCCAACACACUUGUGGCUAUGUAUUCUAAAUGUGGGCAGUUAUUUGAUGCACGUAAAUUGUUUAGAACGAUGCCUGAGACUAGUGUUGUGACUUGGAAUGGGAUGAUUGCUGGGCAUGUACAAAAUGGGUUUAUGAACGAGGCCUCGCAUUUGUUCUCUGAGAUGAUAGCUGCUGGUGUUAAACCCGACUCUAUUACAUUAGCUAGUUUCCUCCCAUCAAUUAUUGAAUCAGCAAGUCUCAGGCAAGGUAAGGAAAUUCAUGGUUAUAUGGUGAGACAUGAUGUAACUUUAGAUCUGUUCUUGAAGAGCGCACUUAUUGACUUAUACUUUAAGUGCCGGGAUGUGGAGAUGGCUUGCAAGAUUUUUAAUCAAAAUACCGUAAUUGAUAUCGUAGUCUGCACAGCCAUGAUUUCAGGCUAUGUGCUCAAUGGGUUGAACAAUGAUGCUUUAGAUAUUUUUAGGUGGUUACUGCAAGAGAAAAUGUGUCCAAAUGCUGUAACUUUGGCAAGUAUUUUACCUGCUUGUGCUGGUUUGGCUACUCUAAAAUUGGGGAAAGAAUUGCAUGCUUACGUCCUCAAGGGUGGGCUUGAUGGGAAGUGUCAUGUGGGAAGUGCAGUUGUGGACAUGUAUGCAAAAUGUGGAAAGCUGGAUCUUGCACAUCAGGUUUUUAGUAGAAUGUCUGAAAAGGAUGUUAUUUGUUGGAAUGCAAUAAUAACAAGUUGUUCUCAGAAUGGCAAACCACAGGAGGCCAUUCAUCUUUUUCGUCAAAUGGGGAUGCAAGGUAUGAAUUAUGAUUGUGUGGGUAUAUCAGCUGCCCUUUCUGCUUGUGCAAACUUACCAGCACUCUGUUAUGGGAAAGAGAUUCAUGGUUUCAUGAUCAAAGGUGCAUUGAACUUUGAUCUUUUUUCUGUGAGUGCACUAAUAGACAUGUAUGGGAAAUGUGGAAACUUAAGUACUGCUCGUCAUGUGUUUGACAUGAUGCAAGAGAAGAAUGAAGUUUCGUGGAACAGUAUCAUUGCUGCUUAUGGGAGCCAUGGUCACCUUGAGGAAUCUCUUGCCUUGUUCCAUAAAAUGUUGCAAGAUGGAAUUCAACCUGAUAAUGUAACCUUUCUUACUAUAUUGUCUGCUUGUGGACAUGCUGGCCAAGUUGAUAAAGGAAUUCAAUACUUCAGAUGCAUGACUGAGGAAUAUGGUAUCCCAGCUCAGAUGGAGCAUUAUGCUUGCAUGGUAGAUUUGUUUGGCCGUGCCGGCCGUUUGAAUGAAGCAUUUGAAACCAUAAAAAGCAUGCCAUUCUCACCUGAUGAAGGUGCUUGGGGGACAUUGUUGGGAGCCUGUCGACUCCAUGGCAAUUCUGAGCUUGCUGAAGUGGCUUCAGGACAUCUACUUGACUUGGACCCAGAAAAUUCUGGUGGCUAUGUACUGCUUUCAAAUGUACAUGCCAAUGCUGGACAAUGGGGA